ACAAUUAAAUUUUUUUUCCUUGCAUGUCAUGUGCGGGGCUGAAAACAAAUCACCCUGAAAACAACCAGAAAAAGGGUAAGCAAAAUAGAACUAGCAUCUAGAGCAGGGGUGGCUAACCCUGGUCCUGGAGAGCCUCAGUGCUGCAGAGUUUAGCUCCAACCCUGAUAAAAACUCUCCUGCCUAUAGCUUUCUAGCAACCUUUCAAACCUUGAUUAGCUUGUUCAGCUGUGUUUUAUUAGGGUUGGAGCUGAACUCUGCAGGACUGUGGCUCUCCAGGACCAGGUUUAGCCACCCCUGAUCUAGAGGGACUAAAAGAAAUGAUGAUGAGGAUUUAGCAGAAAUCCAAGACAUACUUCUUGAAGCCCUCAAAGACUGCAGGUCAGAGGAGCACAUCUCCACUGACACAGACCUGGUUUCCUUAACAUAACCAGGUCAGCCCCUACUCCUCCACCUAACAUCUCAGUGGAGAACAACCAGGGAAAGGGGGGUUAGCUCAUAACUGAACAGGGUCAUCAGAGUUAGCAGACACUUAUCCCCUGUACUUUGUCAGGCUUCACCUUUAGCCAAAGAAGGAUUCAUCAGUUGUCAAACUUCCGUUAACAUUUUACCAACCAGUCUCAAUUGUCCGGACAUUUUUAUUUUUUUUUUAUUUUGCAUGCCCAUGACAAUCCCUGUAGAGGUCAAGGCCCAUGUAAGACCCCGGUUAGCUUGUAUUUUAAGCCAUUGCAGAUCACAGUCAGUAUUGUCAAAUUUGUUUUGUCCGCCUUACAAUCUUGCUUUUAGGACACCCUUCUAAAAAGAAGGAUAUUGAUUGGACCUGCGGAACAGUCCUCUACAGACAGCUGCAGAGUUUAGGUAGAAAACUCUAAUUUACAAACCCCACUGUUGAUUAACAUACAGCCUUUGAACUACACCAUCCAAAAGUGUAGUAAUGGAUGUCAUACAAAAUGACUAGCCCCAUUGUUUAGCCUGUAUAGCAAUGCAAAUUUUACUUUAAGUCUAAGUGAGCUUUGCUCUUGAUAAUAUGGCAGUCAGUAGACAAUCUUGUCACUUUUGGUACCAAGUGAGCUGGUUUGGGACUCCUUUAGUUGGGAAAAGUAAGGAACCAUGCAAAUGAUACAGGUGCACUUAGCUUACAGCUUGGACAGUGCAACACCAAAUGAUGUCAAUCCAGACGCCUAAGAAUUUGGUUUCCUGUUAAAUCUGCUUUUGUUUCUGCUAAACAUUUUUCAAUGUUUACUCUUAACACUCUUUACAGAAUCUAGCUUUUAGGCUAUCUUUAGGACAAUUUAAUUUCCUUCCCCACAUAGGUUCCAUCUCCAGAUCUAAUUUCUAAUCUGCUCACAAAUUAUUCUAAUAGCCAUUGAACAUAGACCUACAUAAAAUAUGUUCAACCAUAUUUUAUUUCCAUGCCAAUGGUCAAAAGGUGGAGGUGAGGUGUGUGUUUUCUUCCUGCAUAUGGAAAGAGGAAAUAAAACAUAGUUCGUUAAGAGCAUGACUUAAAACCGCACUUCCGUAUUCUUCAAAAAGCUUACACUGAAUGUCCUACACCUUCCCUAUUCAACUUACAGGACGGCGCCAGUUCCGUUUUUUCCGUAAGUAGCAUAGAGAAGGCGUAGGACAUACAGCUUUUUUUUUUACAGCACAAAGCUUUUUGAAGAAUACGGAAGUGCGGUUUUGGUGGAACCACUUGAAGGCGACCAUUUGUUUAUGUAAAGCGCAUACAUUUAAAAAAAAAUGUAGAAAAUGACCGAUCGUUUCUCUAGAUAAGACCCUUAUUCCUCGUCUGGUAUCGUUUAAAGCCCUUUGAAGCAAUUUUUACCUUCAACCAUUUGGAGACCAUUGAAGUUCACUAUAUGGAGAAAAAUCCUGGAAUGUUUUCCUCAAAAACCUUCAUUUCUUUUCGACUGAAGAAAGAAGGACAUGGACAUCUUAGAUGACAUGGGGGUGAGUAAAUUAUCAUGAAAUUUUAAUUUAAAAGUGGACUAAUCCUUUAAUGGGCUUAUUCAAGUUUCCUUUGACUAUGUUCUGGCCCACCAUCUAGUGGCAAAAAUUUUUUUUGGCCCGAUGCCAAACUUAAUUGCCGACCCCUGCUCUAAACAGAGAAACAAGGAAACUCUGCAAGAAGUGAAUUUGGGGAGUUUGAAAACUGCAUUGGAGACAACAACGACAAGCUUAGCCCCCCCAUCUUCAAAAUAUAUUCUGCACCAACUUCAAAAUCCUCUCAUCAUAGAUCCUCCAGAUCUGCGUGUUCCAUAUUGCCCGGAUCUACACUGACUUCAGAAUCUAAAGAUCCUCCCGUCUGCGUGUUCCAGAGAAUAAGGAUCGUCUGCACAGACAUCAGAACCGUCAAUGCUUCUUCCAGGCUGCUUCUUCUGCGUGUUCCAGGAAAAGGACCUUCUCUGUGCUCCAGGAGUUCAAUGUUCACAAGUACUUCGUGUUCAAAGCUGUGAAACGGAUUCCAAAUCCUUUCUUCCCACUGCAACGCUGCCCAGCUCAACAAGUGGAAGACGUCACCCUUGGAUUCAGCACGACCAGGCAGACUUAAAUAUCACUUACCAAACCUCUUUCCAGAGACCUUGGCAUUAGUGUAUAUUGUCGGUAUAUGAUUAUCUAAUUUGCAUUCGAUUUUGCAUAGCUGAUGUCAGUUAAUACACAAAUAAUCUCUCAGUUUAUUUGUUGAAUUCAGAAUAAGGUUUACCUUAUUUCUUCUAGAGAAACUACAAUUUAUUUUUCCAUAAGAUUAACUUGAAACUGCCAUAGUAACAUCCUACUCAUUCACUUGCAUUUAUCAAUCUUUUUGCACUUUAUCCAUUCAGUAGUAGUUAGUUACUCUUGUCUAUCCUUUUGUUAAUAAAAUCCAUUUAUUACACUUGUGUCUUCUUUGUGUUGAUAAUACAGUAAGCGUUCUGCGUUAGUUCAGGCAGGCCUCGUAGUCAAGCUCCGCUAUCAGCUGAUUCGCAAAUUCCAACCCCACCCUUAUCAGCUGAUCCGAUUUCUAUUAACUCAAUGGGCUCCAUGCACGGCGGCGCAUGACGUACUUCUGGUGAAAUCUUAGAAUGCUUGAAUACUUCCGCCGAUCGUAGAGUGCUAUGCUAUUAAAGGAACGCUAGUCACCAAAACAGCUAGAGCUUAUUUUGUUGAUGCUUCAUUUUAUAUAGAUAUAUACAUUUAUGUUUAUUUUAUAUAUAUUAUUUUAUAUCAUAAUGACAUCUAAACGUAUAAAAGUAUCUUUUCAAAGACGGGAGGACAGCACUUCUAGCUACCACUGCUGUGUGCCGCAGUGUACUGCAUCUGCUAAAUUUAACAGUUUUCACACAUUUCCCAAAGAUAAGGAAACACAGAAGAGGUGGAUAGUUAACAUACAACGCGACAGUUUUACAGUUACAAGCCAGACAAGAGUGUGUAGCCGACAUUUCCAAAGUGCAGACCUGAUCGAGCCUCAAACUCCAGCCGGACGCAGACGUCUGAAGAAUGGCGCUGUCCCGGUGCUUUUUCAGUGGAAUAACUUCACUCUUCCAGCCCCACGGACCGGAGUUUGGGAAAGGAUAACGCGACCAAACAGAGACACAUUGCACACUGAUGAUGCCCCCUCUAUAGAUGCGGAAUCUUACGACCACGACUACUGCUCCACUGCUAAGCCUGCUGCCUUGGAUUUGUCCCUGGAGCACACUGAAGAUCUACGUGCGGAAAUAAAGCUCCGAAAACAAAUAGAGGAGAUAACCCUCAACAGCAAGUUCUGUUUGGAGCGGUUUGUGGCCUCCGAUGAUGACAUUCGGUUUUACACAAGGUUUGCGACUCACGCCCACUUGAUGGCCUUUUGGAGGCAGAUAGAAUCAGCAACAGGCAAGAUUGUACGGGUGACAAGAGCUCAAACUGCAGCUGUAUCAGAUGAAGUUCCUCACACUGCCGAUGCAACAUCACUUCAACCCAUUGAUUAAUUUUUCCUGUUUAUGACAUACCUGUCACUGGGUCUGAUGCAGAAGGAUCUGGCACACAGAUUCAGAAUCCACCAGUCAACUGUAAGCCGCAUCAUCAACACAUGGGCUAACUUCCUCUAUGCUGUACUCGGAGCUGUGGGCAUUUGGCUGGAUGAGGAGACUGUCAAAGCUCACAUGCCAGAUGUUUUUCAGGAUUACUCUGACACACAUGUGAUUUUGGACUGUACUGAACUGCGGUGCCAAACACCAAACUCUCUUCUCCUCCAGAGCGAGGUAUUCUCGACCUACAAGUCACCCACAAGUGCCCCUCACGGUGCUCUUACUUUUGUGUCAUCCCUCUAUGAGGGCGCCAUCAGUGAUAAAGAAAUUCUUAAGCAGUCGGGUAUCGUGUCUCUCCUAAAAUCAACAAUGGCUAUAAUGGUCGAUAAAGGUUUCCUAGUGGAAGACUUCAUCCCCUGCAAAGUACACAUACCUACGUUCUUGUCAAAGAGAGCACAACUGUCUGGGCCAGAGGUCAGGAAAACCCAGUCGAUAGCAAGACUGAGAGUCCACGUUGAGAGAUUCAUUCGAAGGGUGAAAGAGCAUAAGAUAUUCAACACCAUGAUCCCUCUUUCACUCACAGGCAGCAUUAACCAACUUUAUACAGUAGCCUGUCUCUUGGUUAACUACCAAAUUGGGCUCUUAGUUAAAGGGUGGGCCAGGGAUUGCUAAUGCUGUAGAAGCAGAAUCAGACAGGCAGAAAUGUCGCUAUGCUUAGUUGCACUUCCGUUCUUCAUUGGCAUGCAUCAGUGGA